rnacentral:rRNA from 1 species
AUGAGUGAUCGUGCGUGGAUGUACACCGGUCACACUGGUCAGAACAAAUGGAGCACUGAAUGGUUCACAAAAACCAAGGGGUUUGUGCGAGCCGCAUUUGCAAAUGGCCAGAGGAAAACCUGGUGCCCCUGUUUACGGUGCGGCAAUUGGGAAAAGAGGACAGAGGCUGAAAUGGGCAAACACCUGCAGAAGAGUGGUUUUACGCCCGAUUAUACGGUGUGGACAUUUCAUGGUGAGUCUGCCCAACGUGACCGAGCUGAGGUGGAUCGUCGCCGCACCGACGAGCAUGGUACCGGGAUGGAAAACAUGGUGCAAGACUUCGAUGAUGCUCGGGAUUCGGACGAGGAGAUGGAGGAAUCUGCAAAGGCCUUCAAUGAAAUGUUGGAGUCUUCAAAACGUCCGCUCCAUGAGCACACUGAGCUUUGUCAGUUGGAUGCCAUCUCACAAGUAAUGGCUCUGAAGGCUCAGUUCAACUUGGGCAGAGAAUGCUACGAUGCAAUGAUGACAGUAUUUGGACGCUUUCUACCCAAAGGCCAUAUAAUGCGUGCAAACCUGUACCAGUCGGACAAAAUCCUCCGUGCACUGAAGAUGCCCUAUGAUAAGAUACAUGCCUGUUAG